UUUCCUUGAAGGGGUCAAGGGGACGUGGACGUGAAACCUCUCCCUUCACAACCACGGUGGUAGCAAAGGGUCUCACAGUCGGGGGUGACUUGGGAGGAGACACAGGCGGUGGUGUAACAGGCAGAGGUGACUGUAGCUGCUGAAAGGAGAAGUGCCACAGAAGCUUCGCGAGAAGCGGCAUCCCCAGAUCGUCACUCAGAAAAUGGCCGGAAAGUCCCCAGCGGACCUUCCAUCAUCAGACCACCCCGAGACAAUUGCUAUGAAGGCUGAAGCAAGCAUGAACUAUCACAUCUGUGUAGACGAAAUCUACACCAGGGAACAGAAGGUGGACCAUGCGUACUGGUUCGGUAUGCUGGUGUGCGAAAAGACCAUCCACUACACCGAGCGGGAGAAGGCACACAUAAAACAAGUGGAAUUCCUUCGGAGGGAGGUUGAAAGACGUGGCAAAAUUAUCCACCGAUUGGAACUGGACCUGGCGGCAUCCGAGGCCAGCUUGUCUGCCUCGCAGACAAAUCUGGACGCCACACAAAAUGGUAAAAAAAAAAUGCAGAUUAACCAACAUGUGAAAACUCAUUUAUUACCAACGCAACCAACCGACUCAUUUAUUAACCUAGCUUACAAAAUGUGCAUCCCAAUCCAAAGGAUGAUUACAAAUGGAAUAUUAACAUUUCUUUCCUUCAUAUCUAGAACUGGAUGACCUCCAACUUAUCAACGCCUCCCAAGGUAAUGCAAAUUACCCAACAACAUGUGUUUUAAUUUGGUUAGAGAUUUCAAGCCUUAUGAUUUUACCUAUUAGACUAUACUCUACAAAUUAACCUAGCGUACACAAGCAAACAAAUGCAUACCCAUCCAAAUUACUAAUUAAUAUUAACAUUUGCUUUCAUUUCCGCAAAUUAACCUAGCGUACACAAGCAAACAAAAGCAUACCCAUCCAAAUUACUAAUUAAUAUUAACAUUUGCUUUCAUUUCUAGAACACGACAACCAGAACCGCACAACCGCCUCCCAAGGUAUGACUAUACAUGGUGUUAAUAUGGAUUUGAUUUGUCAACGGAUACUGAUUCCUCCCAUCAGAGAUUGUCUUCAGAUUCCUCCCAUCAGAGAUUGUCUUCAAAUAUGGAUUUGAUCAGUCAUGUAUAACACCUAUUAGCCAAAUGUAAAAAAUAAUGGAAACGAUCUUUCCUCCCAUCAGAUACGGAUUCGUCCCGGCCAUUGUGUUCGACAAUGAUUGACGACAUGGACGAGAACGGGAACGGAGGUACACCUUCAUCUUUCAAAUGUCGUGGUUAUAAAAAAACAUGCAGGCUUUAUGUCCAUGUGCUCGGUAUACUGAUACUUUUUUCUUUACAUUUUGCAGAUCCACUACCAGGCCCCUGAAAACACUCCAGGCCCCUGUAAAUCGAAGAUAUUGUAAAUAGUGUGAUUCUUUUUAUAUAGUGUGGUGUUGUAAAUAGUGUGUUUUUUUUUAAUUGUAUACUCCAAUAAAAACUCAAACAUCUGAUAUUGUUUCAUAUUUACACAAAUUGCCCAUGCAAAAACGAAUGUUUCACAAUUCGUGUUCUUUUCUGUACUUGUGUGCCUGCGCUGGAACCGUCAAAUAUCCCAUGACGCAUAGGCUAUAUAGGGAC
ensembl:lncRNA